rnacentral:rRNA from 1 species
UGAAGAGUUUGAUCAUGGCUCAGAUUGAACGCUGGCGGCAGGCCUAACACAUGCAAGUCGAACGGUAACAGGAAGCAGCUUGCUGCUUUGCUGACGAGUGGCGGACGGGUGAGUAAUGUCUGGGAAACUGCCUGAUGGAGGGGGAUAACUACUGGAAACGGUGGCUAAUACCGCAUAACGUCGCAAGACCAAAGAGGGGGACCUUCGGGCCUCUUGCCAUCAGAUGUGCCCAGAUGGGAUUAGCUUGUUGGUGAGGUAACGGCUCACCAAGGCGACGAUCCCUAGCUGGUCUGAGAGGAUGACCAGCCACACUGGAACUGAGACACGGUCCAGACUCCUACGGGAGGCAGCAGUGGGGAAUAUUGCACAAUGGGCGCAAGCCUGAUGCAGCCAUGCCGCGUGUAUGAAGAAGGCCUUCGGGUUGUAAAGUACUUUCAGCGGGGAGGAAGGUGUUGUGGUUAAUAACCGCAGCAAUUGACGUUACCCGCAGAAGAAGCACCGGCUAACUCCGUGCCAGCAGCCGCGGUAAUACGGAGGGUGCAAGCGUUAAUCGGAAUUACUGGGCGUAAAGCGCACGCAGGCGGUCUGUCAAGUCGGAUGUGAAAUCCCCGGGCUCAACCUGGGAACUGCAUUCGAAACUGGCAGGCUUGAGUCUUGUAGAGGGGGGUAGAAUUCCAGGUGUAGCGGUGAAAUGCGUAGAGAUCUGGAGGAAUACCGGUGGCGAAGGCGGCCCCCUGGACAAAGACUGACGCUCAGGUGCGAAAGCGUGGGGAGCAAACAGGAUUAGAUACCCUGGUAGUCCACGCCGUAAACGAUGUCUACUUGGAGGUUGUGCCCUUGAGGCGUGGCUUCCGGAGCUAACGCGUUAAGUAGACCGCCUGGGGAGUACGGCCGCAAGGUUAAAACUCAAAUGAAUUGACGGGGGCCCGCACAAGCGGUGGAGCAUGUGGUUUAAUUCGAUGCAACGCGAAGAACCUUACCUGGUCUUGACAUCCACAGAACUUUCCAGAGAUGGAUUGGUGCCUUCGGGAACUGU